ACUGUGACUUGCUCUAAUCAUUGGCAACACACUGCACAGAGGCAGACCCUGGGAUAAGGGCCAAAAACAGAGGAGGUGGCCAAAAUCAGAAUAGACUAAAAAGCAGCAGGGAAAUGGAACAGACACAAACACUGAAGUCCUCCUACACGUAUUACUGCUACAGAAGGAUCACAAAGGAACACCUUGGCACCUAUACCUCCGCUUCCUGAACAAAUGUGACAACCAGAUUGAUUGACCAAUUUGCCCAGGCUGUUCAUCCAAGAGAUACCUCUUCAGACUCUCCUAAACCUGGGAUCUUGGCAUAAUAGACAGGUUCCAAUGUGCAGCAAUCUAUCCAUUUCAGAGUGUAUCAGGAAUCCACUACUGCUUCAGGAAUAUUCCAGAAUUUAUGGGAAUCCACUACAGGACUUGUCUGCUGUUCCUGAAAAAUAUCACUUUCUGCUUGUGCCACCAUCUUUCUGCAAUGAACUAAGUCAACAACUCAAAAAUCUUUCAACAGAAAACAUGAUGAUACAUAGUUUUAAAUUCCAAAGUACUGGUCAACACCUUAAAGAAAAACAAAAUCGCUGAAGCAAAACGCCGCUUCCUGGAAUACAGCAUGAAUUCUCAACUUGAUUAUAACUUAACCUGUGCUCAUGCACAUUCAGAGAGUAAACAAGAAGCUUGCCAUGCACUGCACAAGAAUCAAAUCUCAGCUGCCGUCCUUGAGCGCAGACUGCUGAAGCCCAGCCAUAUCAACUUCUUCAUGAAUACAUAAACCAGCAUCAUUAAUUUGUCAACAAAUGCAUCAGGAUGGAUAGAAAUUCUUGCAGCCAAACCCACAACCUACUAUUUUACAAGGCAGCAUAGCUCUCAGUGUUGGACAGGGAUGUAAACCCACAACUUUUCAACCUAAAAAAAAAUUAGACUUGCUCUGAUCUCCCAUAGAUGCUGCACUUCUGCUUCAGACCUCAAAUUUCUGUCUUGUAGAAGAGAGUUUGUUUCUAAAGCAGCCUGAGGACAGAGAAAAGCUUGCAAAAAACUAUGGAAGCCAAGAAACACCUGGCAGGAGGUACCUGUUUGGGCAUUAGUCAGAGAAUGGAGACUGGGGUCUGCAAAGGACACUGCCUGGAGCCAAACUGCCUCCUGUUCAAGAGUCCUUCAGCAACCUGAACUCCUUGUUCACUGCUCCACUUUGCUGCCACUCAGUCACAUCCUGGCCUGCAGCUCUGAGUCCUCUCAGGCAGCCCCAGGACUUGUAAUGAAUGGGCACAAUGGGGUUGUCUUACAGCAAAAAUUGUGCCAGCAUGUACUCUGGCUUCAGCACAAAACAGAUGGCAGUCACAUUGCUCAGCAUACACUGAAAGGUGUUUAGAGACUACAAACAUCCAAAAUCUUAAAAGAAAAUAAAAUGUUUGGGGCUCAGUGACUCUGCUGAGAUGAUGCAGAGAAUGUAAGUGAAAUUUAUGAUGUUCUUGUCUUAAAAUCUGUUUCUCAAAACUGUAGUAUUAUUUUCCUAAGUAGUGUUGUGUUCAUUAUUCGCUAGGAUUGGAAUAAUACACCUGCUUAUAAAUAACGUACUGAAAACAGUUCUAAAGACUUCAUAGAAGAAAAAUAUCUUGCACCAACGUACCCAUUAAAGUGUCACCUUUUAGGGGAUCUCAAUCUAUUACAUUGAAGUCAAUGGAAGUGCUGUCAAGUGUGUCUUGAGACCAAGCACAAUUCC